rnacentral:rRNA from 1 species
UACGUAGGGUGCGAGCGUUAAUCGGAAUUACUGGGCGUAAAGCGUGCGCAGGUGGUUGUGUAAGCCAGAUGUGAAAUCCCCGGGCUUAACCUGGGAAUGGCAUUUGGGACUGCACGGCUAGAGUGUGGCAGAGGGGGGUGGAAUUCCGCGUGUAGCGGUGAAAUGCGUAGAGAUGCGGAGGAACACCGAUGGCGAAGGCAGCCCCCUGGGUUAACACUGACACUCAUGCACGAAAGCGUGGGGAGCAAACAGG